CAGGAGCAAGGAGGCAUUGGGCAGAGAGGCUUCAUCAUAAGCGAUCUAAUACUCCUAGUGUCAGAAGCGACUCGUUAAGCAGUUUCAGCACGUUGCUAGAGGAGGAGGAUCACUUUCCGAAACGUUAUCACGCCCACAUUCCCGGUUUACCUCGUGUGCAUAAACGGACCUUCUCAACUUCUAGGCAC